rnacentral:rRNA from 1 species
CAUCGUUUUCAGCUAUUAUAUUGAAAAUACUCCCUGCCCAGUGACUAAUUGUUCAACGGCCGCGGUAUCCUGACCGUGCAAAGGUAGCAUAAUCAUUUGCCUUUUAAUUGGAGGCUAGUAUGAAUGGGUAGACGAAGAUUUAACUGUUUCUAUAUUAUAAAUAUAACUUAAACUUUAGGUGAAGAUGCCUAAAUUUUAUAGAAAGACAAGAAGACCCUAUAGAGUUUUAGUUAUUACUACAAACUUUUAUAAUAUUAACUUUGGUUGGGGCGACCUAGGAUUUUAAUAAACAUCCUUCUACUAUCCGAUAGAUAUAUCUUUAACAAUUGACCCCUAUAUGGAUUAUUAAAAUUAACUACCUUAGGGAUAACAGGCUUAUCUUCCUAGAGAGCUCUUAUUGAUAGGAUGGUUUGGCCCUCGAUGUUGGCUUAGAGUAACUAAAUAUCGCAGCAGAUAUUAUUAGUCAGUUUGUUCAACUGUUAAUUCUCUACGUGAUC